CGUACGGCUCAGUAACACGUAGUCAAUCUACCGUAAAGAGGCGAAUAACCACGGGAAACUGUGGGCAAUACGCCGUAGGCUACAGCAUCUGGAAGGAGCUGUAACUGAUAAGGUUGCGAACUGGAGCAUUACCGCUUUACGAUGAGAUUGCGGCGGAUCAGGCAGAUGGCGGGGUAACGGCCCACCAUACCGAUAACCCGUAGGGGAUGUGAGAGCAUAGGCUCCGAGAAGGGCACUGAGACAAGGGCCCUAGCGCUACGGCGUGCAGCAGGCGCGCAAACUCCACAAUGCGCGGAAGCGUGAUGGGGGGAAUCUGAGUGGUUCACUUCGGUGAACCUUUUGCCAAGUAUAGCACGCUUGGCGAAUAGGUGCUGGGCAAGACGGGUGCCAGCCGCCACGGUAAUACCCGCAGCACAAGUGGUGUCCGCGAUUAUUGGGCUUAAAGCGCUCGUAGCUGGCUGAUGCCGUCCCAUGUGAAAUAUUGGCGCUCAACGUCAAUGCGGGCAUGGGAUACCCAUCAGCUUGGGAGCGGGUGAGGUCAGGGGUACUUAUGGGGGAGGGGUAAAAUCCUGUAAUCCUAUAAGGACCAACGGUGGCGAAGGCGCCUGACCAGAACGCAUCCGACAGUGAGGAGCGAAGGCUAGGAGAACGAAUCGGAUCAGAUACCCGGGUAGCCCUAGCAGUAAAUUAUGCAGACUCUGGUGUUGCCGAUGUCUUGAAUAUCGGCAGUACCGUAGCGAAAGUGUUAAGUCUGCCGCCUGGGGAGUACGGCCGCAAGGUUGAAACUUAAAGCAAUUGGCGGGGGAGCACACAAGGGGUGGAUGCUGCGGUUUAAUUGAACCCAACGUCGGAAAUCUUACCGGGAGCGACGGCAGUGUGAAGGCCAGACUGAAGAUCUUGCCUGACGAGCCGAGAGGUAGUGCAUGGCGACCGUCAGCUCGUGGUGUGAACUGUCCGGUUAAGUCCGGGAACGAGCGAGACCCUCAUUGACAGUUGCCACUGUUUCAGUGAUGAAGCAAGCACUCUGUCGAGACCGCCUCUGUUUAAAGAGGAGGAAGGAGAGGGCGACGAUACGUCAGUAUGCUCUGAAUCUUCCGGGCUACACGCGGCAUACAAAGGUUGGCACAAUGGGAUGCAACUCCGAAAGGAGGAGCCAAUCCCCUAAAACCAUCCUUAGUUUGGAUUGAGGGCUGAAACUCGCCCUCAUGAAAAUGGAAUCCCUAGUAAUCGCAUGUCACUAUCGUGCGGUGAAUCUGUCCCAGCUCCUUGCACACACCGCCCGCCACGUCACCCAAGUGAGUCCCUAGUGAGGCAACGUCUUCGGACGUUUUCGAGUUAGGGCUUCGUGAGGAGGGCGAAGGCGUAACAAGGUAUCCGUAGGGGAACCUGCGGAUAGAUCACCUCAAAAGGGC
rnacentral:rRNA from 1 species